ACAAGGGAGUUUACUCAUGAGGUGGCGAGCGGCGGACGGGUGAGUAAUGCCUAGGGAUCUGCCCAGUCGAGGGGGAUAACAGUUGGAAACGACUGCUAAUACCGCAUACGCCCUACGGGGGAAAGAGGGGGACCUUCGGGCCUCUCGCGAUUGGAUGAACCUAGGUGGGAUUAGCUAGUUGGUGAGGUAAUGGCUCACCAAGGCGACGAUCCCUAGCUGUUCUGAGAGGAUGAUCAGCCACACUGGGACUGAGACACGGCCCAGACUCCUACGGGAGGCAGCAGUGGGGAAUAUUGCACAAUGGGGGAAACCCUGAUGCAGCCAUGCCGCGUGUGUGAAGAAGGCCUUCGGGUUGUAAAGCACUUUCAGUAGGGAGGAAAGGGUGAGUCUUAAUACGGCUCAUCUGUGACGUUACCUACAGAAGAAGGACCGGCUAACUCCGUGCCAGCAGCCGCGGUAAUACGGAGGGUCCGAGCGUUAAUCGGAAUUACUGGGCGUAAAGCGUGCGCAGGCGGUUUGUUAAGCGAGAUGUGAAAGCCCUGGGCUCAACCUAGGAAUAGCAUUUCGAACUGGCGAACUAGAGUCUUGUAGAGGGGGGUAGA
rnacentral:rRNA from 1 species